ensembl:lncRNA
GAAUGGAUUCAUUUUUCUGCUUUCCUCAUGUGCACAGUUUUUCCUCUACCUUGUAAACUGCCUUUAUCUCAACCCAUUGGUUCUCACAUUUUCACCUUUCUGAUUCUGUCCCCCAUCUGAAGACCUCAGACCUUAUGUAUGCUCAUUCCCAAUGACCAACAUCCAUUUUCGCCUUUACUUGACAUCCACCUGGAUCUCAAGGAGUCACAUCUUUGAUGUACAUAUACAGUCACUUAACUAAGAGGAGCCUACAGCAUCUUACUAACUACAACUCAAGCUGCAUUCUAGAGGAUCUUACAUAAGCAACUCUACACACCUACAUCUUUUCUCAAAAUGAACGUGACUAAACUUAUCUUUGUGGCUUAACUUUGCCUGCUGACUAUUGCUAUGCCAGUCAUGUUUGGCAAAAAACCAAGCAUGACAACAUGCAUGGUCAUCUGUAAGAAAAUGUUCCAGUUCGUCCACAUUUCUGUUCUCCAUUACAUGCAAGACAGAAGAAUCUGUGACUCUCAUGGCUGCUAAAACAGAAAAACUGCAGGUGCAGCAUUGUUCCUGCUAGAUUUGGAUUGAGAUGGAGGCACAAAACCUCUUUCCCUGGCACAAUCUCCUUUGCUUACAGUCCCAGCAGCUUUGUUUCAUUUUUCCGCGUCAGUGGAAUUCAAAAUAUAAAAAAAUAAUUCUCCUAUUGGUUACUCUGAAAGGCCUGUGUUAAUCAAGGUGCCUUUUGACUGUAUAGAGAUACAGUCUCAAACAAUAUUAGUUGCUAUGGAAGCAGAAGAAGGUGCUUUAUGCAGACAUGCAGAAGGAUGAAUGGAGAAGGAGUGUGUGCAGUGGACAAAUACAAGCAGAUUAGCAUAAAGGCAGAUUGGCCCUCUGUGUAAAGUUAGUUCCUGUAAAUACAUUGUAGCAAAUCACAUGUAUACAUAGAGUUUGCAUUUAGCCAAGUUCCAUUUCUUUAACCAUAAGAAAAUGUAUGAUCAUUACGAGUCUCAUUAGCAUUGAUUUUCAUAGACCCCACGCAGAAUUAAUAUGUGUCCUUGAUAUAGGAAAUUACCCACAGUUGAUACAAAUGGCUAGCUGGAAUAAUUCCAUGUAUAUUUAGCAGAUUUGCAUUAUCUUUUGUGGCAGAGGCAGACAUAAGACCCAGAUUUCCUGAAUGUUUACAACAACAUUGUUAAAAAAUAAUGCAGGGAAACAUUAACACAGAAAUGAGAGUGCCAACUUUGUUUAAAAUUCUAAGGUCAAAAACAGACAUUUGCAGACCAAGUCAGCCCAAGAAAGAUUAAAUGACGUUAUAUUUCCUUCAGUAAAACACAAAAGGUCUGUAAUUACUUUCAACUCACCAAGGCAGCUUUUGUUUCUUCCAACCUUCUAGCACAGUUUACUCCAUAGACUCUCUCUCUCUCUCUCUCUCUCUUUUCUUUUUUUUUUCCUGGAGUGAAAAAGAUAUAUGGGCAUAUAUAUGUUAGUAUAUGCAUGCUAAUUCUUACAAAAUUCUCAGCUGCAUUUUAACAAAGUUCUGGCAUGAAUAGUUACCUGUUAAAUUUUCAAGGCAUAACAGUUAUUAGUGUUAAAUACAACAACAAAAAAUGAGAAAGCAAGUAAAUAAAGAAUAUAAAUAACAUCAAAAUUGUAGAGUAUCAUCCAUAAUGAAGAUUCUAAUUAAGAAUGAUUUAACUUACAUUUCAUACUAUUUGCAUUUAUUACAGCUAUAUUUAAUAUAUCAUAGAAGUUAUAUUCACAUUUAGUAUUUUGUCAUAUUUUGUACUUCAAACUCUUAGAAAACAUUUUAAAAAGAGAGGGACAGAGAAAACCCAUUAAUUUUCUGUUCUGAAAAUCUAUUUUUAAAUGUUUUUUCAGUAUUCUGACCUCUGUAAAUAGAGUGGUAAUUUAACUUCCACACUUAAAACAUGUAUCAAAAGAACCCAUUUUUGAGAAAUAUUAAGCUUCAGGACGUUAAAACUUUGUUAUCAGAGCUCUCCCAAAUAGGAUGUCUAAAUUCUUGGGUACAGUGAGAAACAGGCCACUCAAUUGGACCAGUGAAAAUAUAUGUUCCUCAUAGUAUCUAGUGCCUCCAGUCAGAGGAGUAAUUUAAUUAAUUCUUGUGUAUGUUUUUUUUUUUUUUUUAAGUUUGUACUGUCCAAAUAAAUUUUAAAUAAAUUGUAAAAUAAAUUGUGUAAAGGAAUAUUCAAAAUAAAGCUCUAUGACUAUUUAUU